CCUACGGGUGGCAGCAGUGAGGAAUAUUGGUCAAUGGCCGUAAGGCUGAACCAGCCAAGUAGCGUGAGGGAAGACUGCCCUAUGGGUUGUAAACCUCUUUUAUGCGGGGAUAAAGGUGUCCACGUGUGGAUGUUUGCAGGUACCGCAUGAAUAAGGACCGGCUAAUUCCGUGCCAGCAGCCGCGGUAAUACGGAAGGUCCGGGCGUUAUCCGGAUUUAUUGGGUUUAAAGGGAGCGUAGGCGGGUCUUUAAGCGUGCCGUGAAAUUUUGUGGCUCAACCAUGAGAGUGCGGCGCGUACUGGAGACCUUGAGUGCGCGGAAGGCAGGCGGAAUUCGUGGUGUAGCGGUGAAAUGCGUAGAUAUUAGGAGGAACACCGAUGGCGAAGGCGGCUUACUGAACUGUAACUGACGCUGAUGCGCGAAAGCGUGGGGAGCAAACAGGAUUAGAUACCCUGGUAGUC
rnacentral:rRNA from 1 species